CUACGGGGCGCACCAGUGGGGAAUAUUGCACAAUGGGCGCAAGCCUGAUGCAGCCAUGCCGCGUGUAUGAAGAAGGCCUUCGGGUUGUAAAGUACUUUCAGCGGGGAGGAAGGGAGUAAAGUUAAUACAUUUGCUCAUUGACGUUACCCGCAGAAGAAGCACCGGCUAACUCCGUGCCAGCAGCCGCGGUAAUACGGAGGGUGCAAGCGUUAAUCGGAAUUACUGGGCGUAAAGCGCACGCAGGCGGUUUGUUAAGUCAGAUGUGAAAUCCCCGGGCUCAACCUGGGAACUGCAUCUGAUACUGGCAAGCUUGAGUCUCGUAGAGGGGGGUAGAAUUCCAGGUGUAGCGGUGAAAUGCGUAGAGAUCUGGAGGAAUACCGGUGGCGAAGGCGGCCCCCUGGACGAAGACUGACGCUCAGGUGCGAAAGCGUGGGGAGCAAACAGGAUUAGAUACCCCAGUAGUC
rnacentral:rRNA from 1 species